UUUAUUGGAGAGUUUGAUCCUGGCUCAGGACGAACGCUGGCGGCGUGCCUAAUACAUGCAAGUCGAGCGGACUUUAAAAGCUUGCUUUUAAAGUUAGCGGCGGACGGGUGAGUAACACGUGGGCAACCUGCCUGUAAGACUGGGAUAACUUCGGGAAACCGGAGCUAAUACCGGAUAAUCCUUUUCCUCUCAUGAGGAAAAGCUGAAAGACGGUUUACGCUGUCACUUACAGAUGGGCCCGCGGCGCAUUAGCUAGUUGGUGAGGUAACGGCUCACCAAGGCGACGAUGCGUAGCCGACCUGAGAGGGUGAU
rnacentral:rRNA from 1 species